GUGGUCUUUUCCAACCUCAAUGAUUUCUGUGAUUCUAUCCAGCAUACAUAAACUAUGGAUCACAAAAACGGUAUAACCGUGGAUGUUUAUUCCUUUCCGGAGUGCUCUCCCAUAACAGCAGCAAAGCAGUGGAAAUGUAACACAGACAACAGAAAUGACAUUCCCAAGGCAGCACUGAAGGAGGAUACCUGAUGGAAGUGCUGUUCUAUCUCAGCUCGACCGCCUGCCUGGGUCCCACUGGCAAAAAUUACAUCCACGCUGGAAGUGGUGGCAAAACUGCCACUGAGCAACCCAUACCAGCUCCUGUCUGAACAUCUGC
ensembl:lncRNA